CCGGCACGGGUGAGUAACACGUAUCCAACCUGCCGUCUACUCUUGGACAGCCUUCUGAAAGGAAGAUUAAUACAAGAUGGCAUCAUGAGUCCGCAUGUUCACAUGAUUAAAGGUAUUCCGGUAGACGAUGGGGAUGCGUUCCAUUAGAUAGUAGGCGGGGUAACGGCCCACCUAGUCUUCGAUGGAUAGGGGUUCUGAGAGGAAGGUCCCCCGCAUUGGAACUGAGACACGGUCCAA
rnacentral:rRNA from 1 species